CUGCCCCUUUAAAGGGUUGUUAAUUGGCUAAUUAGUUAAUCUGGUUCAUUGGUUACUCAAACGAGUAUAAAAGGACACUACUGGGAUGCAGACUUGUUUACUAGGUGUAAAGGGAUAUGUUCUCAGAACAAACUGGCUGCCAAGAAAAUAAGUUGAGAACUAGAGCUCAGAGUCAAGAACAGGGUGCUUGAAAAGCAUAGCAGAUCAGGCAGCAUCUGAGGAGCAGGAGAAUCGAUGUUUUGGGAAAGAGCCCUUCAUCACUGCCAAAAUGAAAAUGCAUUUUUCACCAUCUGACUUGCCAUCCUCACUGCCAGCUGCUUAAUGCCAAUAAGUGGCAUUUGAGGUUGAUCAGAGAUGCAUCAUCAAGUAUCCUUCAACAACAUAACCAAACAAAAACCUAUGGUCUCUGCCAACAGCCCACUCAGGACAGAUUGAUGUUGGACUGAACAGUAUAUUGCUCCUGAAGUUCUGAGCUUAACUCUGUCAGCAUAAGGUGGAUCGCUUCACCUACACUGUUGGUUCUUUUGGCUGGUUUUAACCACUCUCGGGACCGUGCUAACAAUUAAUGUCAAGGUGUAACUUUAGCAGAGGUACUGACAUUCAAUUGGCUACAGCACAAUUGUAGAAACAUUUGCCUCUGCUAUCUGUACUGGAUUGGAUGUGAUGUGGUGCCUAUGGAUUCAGCCUGAUGUUCAAAUACUCAAUAUGCCUGUUUAAACUGAACAAAAAUUCCCAAUGUGUGAACAUGUUCCUCCUGUCUGCAAAGAGGUUCAUGUGUAUUAAAAUGUAACUAUGUCAUAUUAAGAAAAAUUGCAUUUGAAAGAUUACACUUGGAGUUUCUUUUAGUAAAUUCUGUUUAAUUUCAAAAUCAUAUCUAAUGCUCUCAGUACAUUUCCUUAUGGUCUUAUGGUUGUGUGGAAAUUGGGUCCAGUUGGGAAAGUAGGGUAUUGUCCAAUUGGGGAAUGUUAGGCUAUGAAAGUGUCUAUAGUCUGGGGAAGAUCUAGUUGGGUGUGUGUGAGAUAAGUGUGGGGUCUGUUGGGUAGUUACUCAGGAGUUAGAUAAAACAUUUUUUACUUAAUGGAAUGCUCCCAAUUCUCUAAUUUAAACAGGCAGUUUCAGAGGUUUCCAGCAAUAGAAGAACAGUCCCAAGGAAUCUUCAAUUUCCCCAGCAGACUCCUUUUAGAGUCUGCUGUGACAGGAACUCCCCCAUGUCCCUGAUUACAAUUCUCAUCUAUUCUGGAAUAAUAGCUGCCUGGCCAGCAGAAAAUCUAGGCAAAGAUUUUUCUUUAUUGAAAUAAAUAGAAAAUAUCCAACAAACAGUCAUCGAUUUUGGACCAGAGAAAGAAUAGAUCAAAACCUUGCUUCAAUAGUGAAAAAAAUAAGAAUAGUGAGAGGUGCAAAGAGAUUUAUGGAUAACGUACACAAUUUAUGAAAAUAUAGCAGUCAAGCACAAAAAAAAAGUCUCUCAGAAUGUUAACCUUUAAAACUAGACUCCUAGAAUGUAAAAGGAACAAAUCUUUGUUAUAGCUGUACAAAGCCCUGGCUAGACCACAUAUAAAGAACUGUUUGCAGGUCUAGACACCAUUCCUUGUCUUAGAAGUGUGUAUAUUUCCCUUGAAAAAUGCAGCACAGAUUCAGCAUGUCAUUGUGCCAUGGACAAUAUUUAUGUCCCUUUUUAUUACCCAUAAUUAAUAUGCUUCUGUGUGACUGGUAUAUGUUUUCUUAUCUGGGGAAUGAUUGUUCCAAUUUAAAUGAAUCCAGUUGCACGUUUUUUGUAAUUCCUUAAAUAAAGAAGGUUAUUUAAUAUCAUACACUUGCCCUGGAUACCUAAACCACAAACGUCUCACUCGCUCAUCUCUUACACACUAUCACAUAUACAGAGACUAGACAAAUAUAAAUAUAGAACAGUACAAUUACAAUUUAAGAUUAUCUCAGUGCCUUUUACAGUAGGCUUAUAGUUUCUGAAAUAAAUUGCUGCUUUCAUUGAAGGUAGUCUUAUAAAGGAAAGGAUUCUUAGUAAACUGCAAGGGGUCUUGUGCUUGAAUUUCCAGAAGAUUGUUUCUCACGUGAACUUAGUUGGAACAGGUUGGAGAGAGUUGUCUUCCCACUUUCAAGAUUCCAGCAUCUGCAGUAAAUUGCUCCUAUACUUCUGUAAACAACAGGGAGGAGAGCAGAUGACAUUAUUGCUUGCCAAAGGCUAAAACAAACAACAGACAAAUUUGAAGAGAUUUUAUUACAAUUCAAAGAAUUCAUGAUACUAGCGAAAGCCAUGUGGAUAUAUAUAUAAAGCAGAGGCCUGGAAACAAUGUAAGGGUCAAAGGGGAGAAGAUCAAACUUGGAACAGGAGAAUCCAUUCAAUAUUGGAGAUGGAAGAGAAACCAAGCUAAUGCAGUCACUAGGACAGACACCAGGAACUAAAAAUCCUUGCUAAUAUUGUUCAGCAAUAAACUUCACAUGUGUGCCCAGUGCCCAAUUGUUAAAAUUGAACGUUUUUUGUUGUAAAACAAUAGGCCACUUUCAGAGGAAGUGCCAAAACAUCCAUAAAAAAUCAAAAGACCAAAGAACUAACAAAGACCCACAGAGAGAAGUAAAUGAGAUGUAACAGUCUCCAGUGAGAGAAAACCCCAAGUUUUCUGUGGGGAAAUCAGUGACCCAGAUUAAACAUUUUAGCAAGCUGACAUUUAUGUGA